rnacentral:rRNA from 1 species
AACGAACGCUGGCGGCGUGCUUUACACAUGCAAGUCGAACGGCAAGGCCCUGGUUUUGUUGGGUGCUCGUGUGGCGCACGGGUGUGUAACACGUGAGUGACCUGCCUUUGACUUGGGGAUACCUCCAGGACACUGGGGCUACUACCGGCUAGGUGCUCCUGCUGCCUGGGGGGGGUUGGAACGUUUCUGCGGUUGGGGAUAGACUCGCGGCUUAUCAGCUUGUUGGUGGGGUAGUGGCUUACCCAGGCUUUGACGGGUAGCCGGCCUGAGAGGGUGACCGGCCACAAUGGGACUGAGAGACGGCGCAGACUCCUACGGGAGACAGCAGGGGGGAGUAUUGCACAAUGGGCGGAAGCCUGAGGCAGCAACGCCGCGUGCGGAAUGACGGCCUGCAGGGAGUGAACCGCUUUCGCCUGAGACGGAGCGUGAGUGACGGUAAUGGAUAAAGAAGCACCGGCUAACUACGUG